AAUCACAUCUUCCUUGGGUAGGAAACACUCAACCUCCAUUUCCGGAAAGUGUACACUAAAUCAUUCUAUGUUGUGAAGCCGAAGCUCAACAACAAUGGGAUCUUUGUCAUUCAAGAUUUCCAUGCCUUGCUAGAAGUUCUUGAGUUUUGAGCUUUGAAUGUGGUAUGUGUAGAGCUAUCGGAAGGCCCUGAACUUGGCUUUUGAAUUACUUUACAGGGUCGGAUAAUGUUGACAAGGGGGAGAAAAACAGUUUAGUUGAUGGCCUCAUAAUUGCUACUGUCAGGUGUAGCUUAGAUGGAAAAGUUAUUAACAAUAAUAGUAAUACUUUAUCAUGUCAUGCCUUAACACCAUUCGAAGCAGAAGAAAGGAUGUUUUCAGAGGAAGAUGCAACAAUGCCUUACCGGAUUCCUUUUGUAUAGAACUAUCAGAGUCAAGUUUGGUGGAUUCCUUUUGUAUUUUUCAAGAAUUUCUCUUGUACUUGGAGAUCAUUUAGCUGAAUCAUUGAUUCUCUUGGAUUGGUUUACCA